rnacentral:rRNA from 1 species
UACGUAGGGUGCAAGCGUUUAAUCGGAAUUACUGGGCGUAAAGCGUGCGCAGGCGGUUUUGUAAGUCUGUCGUGAAAUCCCCGGGCUCAACCUGGGAAUUGCGAUGGAGACUGCAAGGCUAGAAUCUGGCAGAGGGGGGUAGAAUUCCACGUGUAGCAGUGAAAUGCGUAGAGAUGUGGAGGAACACCGAUGGCGAAGGCAGCCCCCUGGGUCAAGAUUGACGCUCAUGCACGAAAGCGUGGGGAGCAAACAGGG